GUAUCGAUCGCUAUCUCUAGGACGGCGCCAGUAUGCUUCGCAGUGUGAAAAGCCUAAGGCAGUCCUGGCCCGUAGCUCCCCGCCCGAUGCGCACCGGGCCUCGCGGCGGGAACCUACGCGUGUCCCGCACUGCCGAGGGGCGUGUUCACCCUGCCGGCGCGUCCCCGGAGCCCGUUGAUUCGCGCCGCGGCGGAGACCACGCGCCGUAGGCCCCCGAGCCAGGCGGCGGUAAGUUGCACUCCGUCGCGAGCACGCUUGAGUCCGGGCGCCGGCCGGCGCGCCGAACCCCACUCCCCGCGUACCCGACCCCGUUGCUUCCCCGGGGAGAUCCCCGGGGGAGGUUCCCCGAGCACACCAUGCCGCCCAACCCACGCGCGCCGCCUCUCAUCAGAUAGGUAACGAAAACAAAACUUUCAACAACGGAUCUCUUGGCUCCCGCAUCGAUGAAGAACGCAGCGAAAUGCGAUAAGUAAUGUGAAUUGCAGAAUUCAGUGAAUCAUCGAAUCUUUGAACGCACAUUGCGCCCCCCGGCAUUCCGGGGAGCAUGCCUGUUCGAGCGUCUCUGGCAACACCCCUCACGCCGGCGGAGGCGUGGUCAUGGCGGAGGUGGCGUGCCCCGAGCGGGGAGGCCACCGCGCUGGAAUCCAUGGGCGGACGCCUGCUGCGUGGCCGAGCGUGAUAUGACGCAUUGGCGCUCGCGCGCGGCGAGGCUGCCGGCCCUUGCCCGUCAGUCGGGCGGGGAAAGCAACACCUGGGAACUCCUCGAAUCAGGUAGGGAUACCCGCUGAACUUAAGCAUAUCAU
rnacentral:rRNA from 1 species